AUUGAACGCUGGCGGCAGGCCUAACACAUGCAAGUCGAGCGAGCGGCGGACGGGUGAGUAAUGUAUGGGGAUCUGCCCGAUAGAGGGGGAUAACUACUGGAAACGGUCGCUAAUACCGCAUACUAUCGGAUGUACCCAGAUGGGAUUAGCUAGUAGGUGGGGUAAGGGCUCACCUAGGCGACGAUCUCUAGCUGGUCUGAGAGGAUGACCAGCAACACGGGAACUGAGACGCGGCCAGGACUCCUACGGGAGGCAGCAGUGGGGAAUAUUGCACAAUGGGCGCAAGCCUGAUGCAGCCAUGCCGCGUGUAUUAAGAAGGCCUUAGGGUUGUAAAGUACUUUCAGCGGGGAGGCGUUACCCGCAGAAGAAGCACCGGCUAACUCCGUGCCAGCAGCCGCGGUAAUUC
rnacentral:rRNA from 1 species